GUUCCAUCAAUAAAUUUGUAAUUGAUUAAGUUUCAAAUACAAUCCUAAACAGGUGGGAUUUUAGUUGAGUUUGCAUCCAUAAAAGGUUUACCUGUUACACUCCUACUGUGUUAUAUGGAACAAAAUACCUGUUGCUAUUAUUAUUCCCCCUCACGCUCACAGUCACACAGUU